rnacentral:rRNA from 1 species
UACAGAGGGGGCAAGCGUUGUUCGGAAUUACUGGGCGUAAAGGCGCGUAGGCGCCUUCUAAGUCGAACGUGAAAUCCCCGGGCUCAACCCGGGAACUGCGUCCGAUACUGGAAGGCUUGAAUCCGGGAGAGGGAUGUGGAAUUCCAGGUGUAGCGGUGAAAUGCGUAGAUAUCUGGAGGAACAUCGGUGGCGAAGGCGGCAUCCUGGACCGGUAUUGACGCUGAGGCGCGAAAGCCAGGGGAGCAAACAGG